CAUGCAUUUCGGACACACGAGUCGUCGGUUGGGAGUGAGCCUCGGGAAGACACGCCCAUAAAGAAGACAGCACCUCUGACCUGCCAUGUGCAGUCUGCAGCUGGCCGGGCACGUGAUCCUCGGCAUCUAAGAGGCUGGAGGAGGCAGAACAUAAACAUGAGGGAAAGGCUACUUUCUAACUAAUUCCAGAAAACAAAACAGAAUAACGGUAUGGAAGGUGACUGCGAGUGGAGAGGUUCUUUAGCUGGGGCGGUCAGGAGGUGACACACGAACUGUGCCUGAAUAAUGAGGAGCCAGCACACGGGGACUUGAGGGAAGAACCUGCCAUAAGAAGAUGGAUGAGAUGCUGUUUCACCCCACAGCCUCGCUGGACUCUGGAUCAGAGUUGCUGAAGCCAGUCAGGGAGCUCGAGGUGACCUAGAGGACCAGGAAGGCAGAUUCUCUCUCUGGAGGGACCACGUCUUCCUGGUAGCAGUGCUGAGCUACAGGAUGGAAGAGUCAUGUGAACAGGGGACUUGCCGAAGCCUCUUUCCUCCAGGAAGCCUUCUUUACUACAGACCACAGAGGACCCCUCACCCCACCUCUUAUAGCUGACAGAACCGCUCAGUUCAGAGUUCGCGGUUCUCUGAUGGUUUGUCCCUGAGAUCUGUUCCCCCAGCUUGGCCAGGGACCCAGUCUCCUAGGUCCAGUCUGUAUUCAUCCCAAGGCCCCCACUGCCAUGUGUCCAGGAAUUGGACAGCCUGGGGUUCUUGUUCUGAGCCCCUGCCCCAGUGCCCCUUGAGAGCUCACCGAGAGCGGAGGAUCAAGUGCUGGAGCUCCUAAUCUCACUUCGUUU
rnacentral:lncRNA from 1 species